AGUGAACGCUGGCGGUAGGCCUAACACAUGCAAGUCGAACGGCAGCACAGUAAGGGCUUGCUCUUACGGGUGGCGAGUGGCGGACGGGUGAGGAAUACAUCGGAAUCUACUUUUUCGUGGGGGAUAACGUAGGGAAACUUACGCUAAUACCGCAUACGACCUACGGGUGAAAGCAGGGGAUCUUCGGACCUUGCGCGAUUGAAUGAGCCGAUGUCGGAUUAGCUAGUUGGCGGGGUAAAGGCCCACCAAGGCGACGAUCCGUAGCUGGUCUGAGAGGAUGAUCAGCCACACUGGAACUGAGACACGGUCCAGACUCCUACGGGAGGCAGCAGUGGGGAAUAUUGGACAAUGGGCGCAAGCCUGAUCCAGCCAUACCGCGUGGGUGAAGAAGGCCUUCGGGUUGUAAAGCCCUUUUGUUGGGAAAGAAAAGCAGCAGGUUAAUACCCCGCUGUUCUGACGGUACCCAAAGAAUAGGCACCGGCUAACUUCGU
rnacentral:rRNA from 1 species